UACGUAGGGGGCUAGCGUUGUCCGGAAUCAUUGGGCGUAAAGAGCGUGUAGGCGGUCCGGUAAGUCAGCUGUGAAAGUCAAGGGCUCAACCCUUGAAAGCCGGUUGAUACUGUCGGGCUAGAGUCUGGAAGAGGCGAGUGGAAUUCCUGGUGUAGCGGUGGAAUGCGCAGAGUAUCAGGAGGAACACCAAUGGCGGAAGGCAGCUCACUGGGACGAUACUGACGCUGAGGCGCGAAAGCUAGGGGAGCAAACGGG
rnacentral:rRNA from 1 species